AGCGAACGCUGGCGGCAGGCUUAACACAUGCAAGUCGAGCGGGCACUUUCGGGUGUCAGCGGCGGACGGGUGAGUAACGCGUGGGAACGUGCCCUCUGGUUCGGAAUAACUCAGGGAAACUUGAGCUAAUACCGGAUACGCCCUUUUGGGGAAAGGCUUGCUGCCGGAGGAUCGGCCCGCGUCUGAUUAGCUAGUUGGUGAGGUAACGGCUCACCAAGGCGACGAUCAGUAGCUGGUCUGAGGGGAUGAUCAGCCACACUGGGACUGAGACACGGCCCAGACUCCUACGGGAGGCAGCAGUGGGGAAUAUUGGACAAUGGGCGCAAGCCUGAUCCAGCCAUGCCGCGUGAGUGAUGAAGGCCUUAGGGUUGAAAAGCUCUUUUAUCCGGGACGAUAAUGACGGUACCGGAGGAAUAAGCCCCGGCUAACUUCGUG
rnacentral:rRNA from 1 species